CUAAAAAAAGCUGCAGAAGGUAAAAGCAUGCAUCUCUUGCUCCAUUAUUUGUGAUGUUCCAUGCUCCUCGAGGCAGAGCUAGAUUACAGAAAUGGGAAAUCGAACCACUGGUCAGUACCUCUCCGCGAAUGAAGAUGUGAGGCACCCAGAAUACAGCCCAAAGAUGAAAAAGUGAACAAAACAAAAAUGUUGUAAGAUGAUAAGAUCACAGCAACAGAUAGCAGACCUCAUUGUUCUGAUGGAAUCACUAGCAGUAUGAUGCACCAUGAAACAUGAGCUAUGUCACUCCUUUUUGUAGUGAUCUUUAUGGAUGGUCACAGGGUUGUUGGUCCUGCGGAGGCUCUUGUGACUUGAGUAAAAUUAAGGAAUGGCAAGAAAAUACUCAGGAAGGAGCUGGCAAUCCCACUUGGGACAAAUGUUAUGAUGCAUUGUUUCGUUAAACGGUUAGAGAUUGCUAAGCGUCAUCAACCUACCAAAUCUGUACCUAACAAAGAUGCUGGUGCACAUAAGGAGGCACCUUCCAGUGCCUUGAUGGGACUAUAUCCCCAGCUUGAAUCUCAGGAGGAUACAGUUAUGGAGAACAUCUUCUUGGCAGCAGCUGUGGGAGAUCAGCAGCCCCAACCUCUUCAACUGAGAGUCUGAAACCUGAAUACAGGCUGAGCUAGGACAUGGAGGCUCAUGACCUCUGCCUACGUGAAUAGUUGCAGCUAGGAGCAACCACCUGACUGAUGCUCUUGGUAACUUAGACAGCAACAAGGUGGCUUCUCAACGCAAGUUACCAAGACAAAAUGGCUUCUAGGCUGCUAACUGAUAAUUCUGCUAGAGCUGCAUAAUGGCUUCUAGGCUGCUAAAUGCUAAUUCUGCUAGAUAGCUAUAAAUAACUAACCACACACUGUUGCAAAAAGAGAUUAGCAGACAAUGCGCCCUUUAGAAUACAGAAGUAAUUCGACAAGACAAGGGAGUAAUAACCAUUCUGACUGAUCUUCAGGUGCAGAUGUAACGGUUCUGUAUUGAGAGAUAAAAGUGACCUAAGCAUUGGGACAUAAGUUGUUUCCUAGUUAGUAUCAUUGGACCAAGUAACUGCCAAUGAAGCAAUAUCAAGUAUUGAUUGAUAAUUGUUUGAAUGUACUAUGCAAUCACACCCUAUACCCUGCUUUAAGAAAAGUAUAAAAAUGUCUUUGUAUUAAGCUGUUGUGUGCAGCUCGUCCGAGGAAUACUGAAGUACUCAACUUUUGGGUUUCUGUACGCUCUUCUCUCGACCGUAUGAAGAAAUAAAGAGUGAAGACUUAAAACAGCCAAAUCGAUUUUGAGUGCUCAUUGACUGAUGGCGGAAUCGAGAGACCCCGAGGGGGGGUCAAGAUCUUCAUCUGGUGCUGUGACUCGGAUUCAGUAUGGAUAGAUUUUGGACAGCAACGUAAGAGCCUUGAGUCCUCUGCUAUUGAGUGUAGAGGAAUCGGCUGGCCAGACGGGGACACCUCUGACUCUGAGAAGGUGCUGUGGUCCAAGGCCGGCUGUUAUUGUAAUCCUGUUACUAAAUUCUGGACCACUCCAGUUGGUCAAAUUGAUAUUCGAAUCCCUGAUCCAGGACAACCGCCAUGAUGAAGAUUAAACUUACCCUGCUAUGUGGACUCAUCAUUAUCAUCAUUAAUGCUCAAGAAGGGACUAUUUAUCAGUGUGAUUCGGAGAAACCAGAGACUAUGUACCAUUUAUGCCAAAAAGACCUCCUUGUGUGACAACAGAUUGAUUCCUUCGAUGCAUGGAACAUUACCAAGAAUGACUAUCGUAAUGGUCAACUGUAUCAAGAUCUGACAGUUUGUUUACAGGACAGGUCUCAAAGGUCUUUACCCUAUCAAGGUGUUCCAUGUCAGUUUGGUUUCAGUUGCAUCAUGGGUGGCCCUGGUAAGUCUUGCCCCUACCCAAACAGGUCUAAAUCUGCACGCCGCAAAAGGAAAAGGGGGGAAUGCCGUGUUUCACUAAUAACUUGUUUUUUCAAACUCUCAGUAAAAUAGUCGGCUGGGAUGAAGUGGUCUGUUACGCCCUCACAUCAGCAAAGGACUCCUUGACCCCUUUCCCUCUCCCAAAUUCCAACGACGGAGUAUGGAACACUUCUAAGGCAUUUACCGGACAUAAUGUUUCCUUUGACUAUUACUUAUCCCCACCUGCUAGUUGCUUAUGGACUUCCUCUAAUAAGUCUGGAGUAGCCUAUCCAAAUUGUUACAACGGUAUGGGAUGGGGAUGUGCUUAGUAAAUGUGACUAAGACUAUUCCAUAUGCCUUGGUCAAAUGUACCAACCGCUACUGCUCCGCUGUGGGGCCUUGCAUCUCAUGCGUAUGCCAAUGGGAGGUGAGUGUCCCCAUUAUUACCAGUAUUCAGGCUCUUUGUGGUAUGGGUAACAGCACCCACCUUCCCUGUGAGACCCCUAACAGCACCUCCAUCGUCCCAACUGUGGGAUGGAAGGAACCAGUUUGGGACGAUAACCGCAUUUCUUACAAAAAGACCCAUCUCUUUUUAUUGAAUAGAUUUCACUCUAAGUGCCCAAGGCGACCAUACUUUGUAGCCACGGACUACCUGUUCAUUCGGGUAGUUAUAAAGAUAGGCCUGCUUCUCAUUGGCAUGCCCCCUCCAUUAUUUAUAUUAAACCCGGUUAUUAUCUUUUCAGCCAAGGAAAAAUGACUAUCUUCCUUGUUCUGGAUGAAACAGGUACUCCCCGUACUGUAGCUGGAGGGACACGUUUCCCGACUACUGUUCCCUGUCCAUCUACCUGGGAAUGGGGCUGGGGUUUCUCUACCAAAUGUUCAAUUUCACGCGAAGUCUGCACGCAUUGGAAGGAGGUUAAGGCUUUGGGCAACAGUAAAACCCAUUCUUGGGCCCACUCAUUUCUUAGUGGUUUUUCCAUAGGUGGAUCUGCAGGAAUUAUUAGCCACCAAAACCAAAAUUAUCUUAUUUACAGUAUCAUCCUCUGGGGCAACGAGACGGCCUCGGCCUUGGCAAGAGUUAAAGACAUACUCACAGAAUUAUGUCUAUUUUCCCAGUCAAAUAUGUAUGCCCACAACUACCUACUGGCCAAACAGGGUGGGGUUUGUGCCAUAGUGAAGGGUAAGUGUAUGAUGGGUGUUAUCAACCUCAUCGAGAAUAUUACCAAACAUGUACAUAACAGCCGUAUCUUCGUCAAUAAAAUGAUGGAAGGCACUCGAUGGGGAGAUUGAUCAACCAGUUGUGCCAUGAGCCAAAAUCUCAAUCGGACAAUGUAUAUUGGUAUUAUUUUACUUUGUCUCUUUGCUAACAUUGCUAUCGUUAAAUGUAUUAUUGCUAAGCUAUUGAACUCUGUUGGCAACAUUGGUUCCCCUCAGAAAAUGCUGAUGGUGCCCCCAAUGCGGAUGAGAAGAAGCAGCUGCCCAUCCCUAUCUCCUCCCUGGAAGAGAAGAAGAAUGGCAGGCUCUGGCGUCCAUCUGAUUAGACUGAUCUGAUCUAUGUCCUCCCACCCAAUGGUGUCGUCAUAGAAUGACCAAAGGGUGGAGAUGAAAGUCUGAAACCUGAAUACAGGCUGAGCUAGGACAUGGAGGCUCAUGACCUGCACCUAUGUGACUAGUUGCAGUUAGGAGCAACCACCUGAUGGAUGCACUUGGUAAUUUAGAGGGCAACAAGAUGACUUCUUGAUGCAAGUUAGCACAACAAAAUGGCUUCUAGGUUGAUAACUGCUAAUUCUGCUAGAGUUGCAUAAAUAACUAACUACAGGAUGUUGCAAAAUGAAAUUAGCAGACAAUGCACCCUUUAGAAUACAGAAGUAACUCGACAAGAUAAGGGAGUACUAACUGUUCUGACUGACCUUCGGGUGCAGAUGUAGCGGCUCUGUGUUAUGAGAUAAAAGUGACCUAAGCAUUGGGACAUACGUUGUUUCCCAGUUAAUAUCACUGGACCAAGUAACUGCCAAUGAAGCAAUAUCAUAUACUGAUUGGUAAUUGUUUGAAUGUAUUAUGAAAUCACACCCUGCUUUAAGAAAAGUAUAAAAAUGUCUUUGUAUUAAGCUGUUGUGUGCAGCUCCUCUGGGGAAUACAGAAGUGUUUCCGGAUGCUCUUCACCUGGCUGUAUGAAGAAAUGAAGAGUGAAGUCUUAAACAGCCAGAUCGAUUGUGAGCGCUCAUUGACCGAUCACUGAACUGAGAAACCUUCCCGGGGUUCAAAAACUUCACAACCUCCACAAUACCAGGAUGUCGUCCAAUCUACCAGCCUGCCUACAGCCCCAACUGAUUCUACCCAACCUCUUACCCUACUCAAAGUUGCAUAUGGCACCUGCUGGGUGACUGUUAAAGAUCCUUUUUCAGUCCCAGCUGGGGAAAAUGGGGAUUAGAUAGAGGAACUCAUAGAGGAGAAGCAGGGUCAGGGAAAUAUCCCCCAGGAUGAGUCGGUCCAGAACCAAGCUAUGCAGGCCAUCUCAAAUGGGGCCAGGCAGCAUAGCGACUUUGGGGAGGUCACUUGAUGCCUUCAAAAGAAAGAGUUGAUUUUGUUGCCUCCCUCACUAAUAUGGACUGACAAGCUCUAUUCAAUAAGAGGUCUGAGGGUCCUAAGGGCCAGUUUGUCCAAUAUCACCAAUCAUCUAAUGAAAGGCCACAGAUAUUACCCACCUCAGUUAGAUGGGGGGGGGCAGCGGCUGGUUUGGUCCAAGAAUAAUGACAUCUGCCAUUGGUGUGGUCAGAAGGGUCAUUGGGCUACAGAUUGUCAGAUGCCAUUGGCUGCUCCUCCUGCAACUGCAAGAAUUCAGUGUUCUGUACAUGCCCCAAUGUUUACACUCACAGACACCUCCCACACUACACAAUAAGCGGUGACAUGAUGGAUUAUUGGUACAGAAUGCCUUGAUCCAGCUAUCUGCUUCUCUCCUCGAAGACCCAAUGACAGAAAUUGAUGUUCUGCGGAAAUAUGUUAAGGUUUAGUCGACUCCAGCACAAAUAUUUCGUCUGUACCUCCCCUCUGUGGAACUUCUGAUAGGCACUUAAACUGUCUCCAUCGUCAGCACAGCAGGAAUUCCCAUGGUGGAAUCACUCUCCCAACCUGUUCCCAUUCAGAUAGGUCAGCUCCACAUGGAGGAAUCAUUCGUUAUUAUCAAGAAUUCAGCUGCUUCCCUGUUGGGUUGCUGAGCCCUGUAUAAACGCAGUGCUUUGAUUCACUAUUCUGAUCAGAGGCUGUACUUGGAUCUCCCCGAUGACUCUGUGGUGCAGGCCUAAAUUUGCUGAUGCAGUGCUCUGACCCUGCGACACAAGCUGUAUUGUAAUGCUGGCAACUACAGAAUAACCCUGUUGUUUUGCAUCUUUUGCACCAAAUGAUAGCUGAUCUAGAAUGAAGCACCGAUCCCUGUUUAAGCUUUCUUCAUCAUCUACUCCUUACAUUCCGCUCUCCUAAAACCAUCUAUUUCACGGCCCUUUUUACCCACCAUCUAGUCCCUGACUUAUUUGCAAGCCUCACGAUCCCUUGACUAGUUUAGUCAGGUUCAUUGCAGUUCAAUGGGAGAAUUUAUUUCAAUCCCAUGGCCUAGGUGCCUCCGUUCAGCUUGAUACUGUACAAUCACCUUUGUUCGCGAUGGGUCCCACCUCAGUGCAGCACGUCACUGUCUCUGUUAAGUCUCCGCAUCGGCCUAAAGAAAUUGGUCCUAUGAUCCAUUCCUUGUGCUGCAGAGAAUCUCUAAGGGAGACCCAUUGUGGGAACUUUUGGAUUACUGUAUUCUCUGAUGAGGUUGGUUGCAUUGGCUCCCAUCUACCUAAUGGCUGGUAAUUUUUCUCUGGUAUCAGCCAGCCUCGCUCCAUGACUAUAUGCCCCCACUGCUCCUAGCAUCUGUCCCCUCUUCCCUGUGGGCACUCCAUAAAAAACCAUGUGGGGUUGGUGUUUUCUGCUCUGCUGCACCAUGUUAC